rnacentral:rRNA from 1 species
UGCGUAGGCGGAUUUAUAAGUCAGUGGUGAAAUCCUACAGCUUAACUGUAUAACUGCCAUUGAUACUGUAGAUCUUGAGUACGGUUGAGGUGGGCGGAAUGUGUCAUGUAGCGGUGAAAUGCUUAGAUAUGACACAGAACACCAAUUGCGAAGGCAGCUCGCUAAACCGUAACUGACGCUGAGGCACGAAAGCGUGGGGAGCGAACAGGAUUAGAUACCCUGGUAGUCC